rnacentral:rRNA from 1 species
GACGAACGCUGGCGGCGUGCUUAACACAUGCAAGUCGAACGGAAAGGCCCUGCUUUUGUGGGGUGCUCGAGUGGCGAACGGGUGAGUAACACGUGAGUAACCUGCCCUUGACUUUGGGAUAACUUUAGGAAACUGGGGCUAAUACCGGAUAGGAGCUCCUGCUGCAUGGUGGGGGUUGGAAAGUUUCGGCGGUUGGGGAUGGACUCGCGGCUUAUCAGCUUGUUGGUGGGGUAGUGGCUUACCAAGGCUUUGACGGGUAGCCGGCCUGAGAUGGUGACCGGCCACAUUGGGACGGAGAUACGGCCCAGACUCCUACGGGAGGCAGCAGUGGGGAAGAGUGCACAAUGGGCUGAAGCCAAAUGCAGCAACGCCGCGUGCGGGAUGACGGCCUUCGGGUUGUAAUCCACUUUCGCCUGUGACGAAGCGUGAGUGACGGUAAUGGGUAAAGAAGCACCGGCUAGCUACGUG